rnacentral:lncRNA from 10 species
UAAUAGAGAUGAAUCAGAAAUCCCAGAGGGCUCUGUCCCCCCAGUGCUGUGGUUGUGGUUCUGGUGUUGGAUGGUGCCUGGGGAGGCUGGUAGGCACUGAGGGGGAUUCUAGAGCCAUGAUAUCCUGGUGGCUUUUACAACUAUUAGUGCACUUACACAUUCUCCUUUAUCCACUGGGCAUAUGUCCCAAGAACCCCCCCAACUCCCCGUGGAUGCCUGAAACUGUGGAUAGUACCAAACCCUAUAUACACUCGAUUUUUUCAAUCUGAUCACCAAGAUGGCUAAUGAGGGACUAACAGGCAGGUAGUGUAGACCUUGUGCAGAUACUGGACAAAGGGAGGAUUCACGUCUGGCCUGGGAUGGAGUGGAACAGUGCAAGAUUUCAAAAUAUUACUCAGAGCAGCAUGCAGUUUAACACUUCGGAUGAGGGGGACUACUGUACAAACAUUGAAGAUGCACCUGGACAUUACUUGUGGGCUUUCUGGGUCUACCUCCCAGAUGCAGCCAUUGCUGAACUGGCAUCUUAUACCUUAGGCACGCUCUCCCCAGUGAGCAUUCUGUGCUGGCCACGCAGUCCCUCCUUGACCUUCUCAUUGACAAUAUGCACUAUUAUGACUUGAGUGCAAAUUGUUUAUUAUUUAUUUAUUUUUGGUUUCCCUUUCUCUGUCAACUGAUCAUAAAUGCAAAUUGUUUAGCAUCACUGAAGUUUUCUGCCCUUUAUGCCAAUACAAAUUGAGUUUUAAUUUAUCCUUAUUUUUCACAAAUGUUUUUCUAUUAACAUAGAAGGCAUGCAUAAUUGUUUAUCUUCAUCAUAUCAUCAUCAUCAUCAUCAUCUUUCCAUAGUUGUCAUUAUCUAUAUCUGGCAUUCUUAAAUAGAACAUGAUUGUUUUUAUUUUACUCUAUUAUUUUAUCUUGGUUUUAAAACAAACAUUAUUUUGGAAUAAUUUUAGAUUUAUAGAAAAGUUGCAUAGAUUAGUACAGAUGGAAUUUCACCAUGGUAUAUUUUUAAAUUUAUAAUUGGCUUUUGAAUUAUCAUCUAAGAUUGAUUUUUGAUUCUUCAUCUAACUUUCUAAUGAAUUACUACUUGUUUCCAAAUAAGUUUAUUUCUAAAAGACAUUUUAAUUACAUUGAUUUAUUAGAAGCAUUUGUAGUCCUUCAUGGUUUCAGAAAAUCAAUUGUUCAGACCUUUUUGAACAUAUCUGAUUGUGAUAUUCAUACUGUGUAACUCUGAAUUUAAAUCAAGUUCAGUGGAAAUUAAGAUAUGAUGUAUUAUUUUUUAGUGUAUGUUUCGUAUCUGAAUUUUUGAUGCAGUUAAAAAAGCCUUAAGAAAACGACAAAAAAGCUAGAGUGCAGACAACCUAAAAUCUCUAUUUUAAAACAUCAUUUUCCUGAGGCCAUGCAGACUCAUAUCUAAGUUUUUUUCAUUUAAAUAGACUUAAUUCUAACAAAUACUUACUUUCAUAAUGAAAAACUUUUUAAAGGUGGGACAGACAUACUAGUUACGAAAUGAAAGUUUUCAAUCACAGAUCAGGAAGUAUAAUGAGAUUACAUCAAAUGUGAAUUUGUGUGCCUAAAGAAUUCUCUUCACUUAAGUCUUAUUACUUGCCUGUCGAAGAGGCAAGGGCAGAAGACAUCAGUACCUUGUUGAAACCCCGGCCGUGUAGAACAGGCCUGGCCCUCUGCCAGGGUAAUAUGGGAGACAGACGUCCUCGGUGAGCUUGGUUGUAAAGGCAUCUGCUGCAGCUCAGGAAGCAAUGAAGAGCCGAGACCCAAGGCCUCAUCCACUUCCAGGAGGGCUCCCUUUAUGGGCUCUUGGCGACUGUAACACUGUUUAGCACAGAAACUAGCACAGAAAUAUUACAGAUGAUUUGGUACCAUGUCAGGUAACACACAGACGAAGAGCAUUCCAGAAGAUUAGGACAUCAACAGUUUUCACUGCAGAUUGAUAAACCUACGGAUAUUGGCCAUUUUGCUUAGUUAAUUAUACUAAUUGGACUUUCAGAGGAGAACUUCCUGGGAGAACUUUAUUUUCCUUGGAAAGAAACAUAACAAACUGCUGAGAAAGUUAUAUUGAAAAUGGACACACACAAAUGAGACAAUUUGGAGGUUUUUCUGUAAGUUUGUAUACUGAGCAAACCUAUGAGGACCCCUCACAUCAUGAGUUCCUUCUGCGAACUCUGAGAUUCAGGGAAUAUGCUAUUUUAUUCACAGAUAGGCUCUCUGAAAUGUUUGCCUGCCAGCCUGAAUCCACAUUAAAGGAUGUCCUUAAAAUGUUGAUUAAUAAAAUUGAAGCUGCUCC